AUAUAUAUAUAUAUAUAUAUAUAUAUGAGUGUUCGUAAAAGCAACAAUACAAAAUCUUAAACUAUAAAAGUGCCACUUUGUCCCACUAUUAUGUGCAGGCCUGGCAUUUUGCACUGGGCUAUAGAACUACAAAAUGAAUUUUAAAUUAGAAAUAUCAUAACUGAAUGACAUUUUGAAUUAUGUAGUGAUCUAAUUCUAUCCACCAAACAAUUGUAUGUGAAUGUGUGAGACUUAUGGUCAUGGUUAUAGGGAAAUAACAAGAAGAACAAAGUGCAGUAAACGGUAAAACUGUCUGCACUACAAACCAGUACGUUCAUAAUUAAGACAAUACAUUAAAAAUAACAUGGUAAGAUACAGCAGUUUGCAACAGUAAACAGCAAAACAAGCUGUUUGUACAGCUAAUAUAGCUGGAAUGACACCGAAAGCCAGACACAUUACAUUUACAAAUGGCCGCGGCCCCUCUUACAGAAAAAAAAUAAGGGGCAUAUGUUUAUUCAUAUGUUUAUUUAUGUAACGUAAGCGUGUGACCUUUAAUUCGUGACGUGCUUUCAUGGGCGUGCGCGCGGACCGGAUGGAGUUGCCAUGGAAACGGAGCGCAACACUGCAAAUGUCACGAGGAAACACCCCGUUUCUCGCUGAUUUCACUGUUUUCAGGAAUGGUUUAAUGUCUUCGAAAAAGUCCGUUAGCAUUUCUACCGUUUUCAGACGACGUAUCGUCAGAAGGGAGUGUCCAAGAUUUCAAUAUUUCUGAAGGGAGCUGCUGACAGAGAUGUAGGAAGCGCUGAAAAGGUUAAGUAACCUAAUAUGCAUUUUUUUCACAACAUAUAUCGCAAUGAAUUUGUUAUUUUAUUUAUUUAUUUUUU